UAGGGAAUCUUCGGCAAUGGACGAAAGUCUGACCGAGCAACGCCGCGUGAGUGAAGAAGGUUUUCGGAUCGUAAAACUCUGCUGUUAGAGAAGAACAAGGACGUUAGUAACUGAACGUCCCCUGACGGUAUCUAACCAGAAAGCCACGGCUAACUACGUGCCAGCAGCCGCGGUAAUACGUAGGUGGCAAGCGUUGUCCGGAUUUAUUGGGCGUAAAGCGAGCGCAGGCGGUUUCUUAAGUCUGAUGUGAAAGCCCCCGGCUCAACCGGGGAGGGUCAUUGGAAACUGGGAGACUUGAGUGCAGAAGAGGAGAGUGGAAUUCCAUGUGUAGCGGUGAAAUGCGUAGAUAUAUGGAGGAACACCAGUGGCGAAGGCGGCUCUCUGGUCUGUAACUGACGCUGAGGCUCGAAAGCGUGGGGAGCAAACAGG
rnacentral:rRNA from 1 species